rnacentral:rRNA from 1 species
AUGGAAGUCUUUUAUACAGAGUUUAAGUUGGAGGACCAUGAGUGGUUCGCCAAAAGGUUUCAGCUUCGUGCGACAUGGAUACCAGCAUAUUUCAUGGAUAUUCCCUUAGCUGGUCUUCUUAGGACAACUUCAAUUUCAGAGAGUGCAAAUUCGUUCUUUAAGCGUUUCAUAUGUCGGAAGCUCACUUUUGUUGAGUUUUGGCUAAGGUUUGACACUGCGUUGAAAUGUCAGAGGCAGAAUGAGUUGAUUGCCGAUAACACAAGCGAGUACACAACAAGUGAAUUGUUGACAUCAUGGGAGAUAGAGAAACAAGGCAGGGAGGUAUUCACACAUGAGAUUUUUGAAUUGUUUCAGGCUCAGGUGCUUGCUGCAAGGGAUGAUUGUGAUGUUCAAAACACAACAAAUGGUGAGGGUAUUAAAGUAAUGUCUGUUAGCGACCAAUACAACAAGAUUAGAGAAGUGUGUUAUGAUACAACAACCAUGGUUGCUAAGUGUUCUUGCAAGCUUUUCGAGUCCAAAGGAAUUGUGUGCCGCCACAUUAUCCGAGUACUGAGGGGUGCAAAAAUAAAUGAAUUACCUAGCCUUUAUGUUCUCAAGCGGUGGGAGAAAAAUUGCAAAAGGGACAUUAUGUUUGAUGGGGAAGGAAACAUACUUGAAGGGAAUUUCAUUGACCCAGUUGACAUGGCUUUGAGAAGAAAGAUAUCUGCUGUCAGGAAUAAGCUAGAAGAUCUCAUACGGACUGCUAAGUGCUCCAUGGAAGGAGUUGAAUUUCUCCACACCAGCUUGUGCAAGGCUGAGUUGGGUUUGAGGCAGCUAGUACCGGUCGUACCAUGCGAUACGCAAGAAAAUGAGGAGUCAUUUAUUGGUAGCAUCAUUCCAAAGGAUGUCACCAUCCUCACACCUAUUGAUAUCAAUGCAAGGGGCACAUGCUCUAGAAUAAAGGGGCACAGGGAUGGUGUGAGGGGUGGAUCUGGUGACAAGAAAAGAAGGCCAGGAAUUCAUCAAAAAGUCGCACGCAAAUGUAGCAUUUGUAAGAAAGUGGUAUUCCAUGAUGCAAGGACAUGCUCUAUGAAAAAUAUUACACAAGAGUAG